rnacentral:lncRNA from 1 species
CUAAAUAAGUAUUUUGCAUAAACAUCUGCGUAGCCGAACAUUAAUUUAGAUCGGAUUAAUUCUCUUUUAGUGGGGAACAAUAAGCUAUUUAUACCCCAGCACGCUGCUUUACCUGUAUAAUUUAUAAUUUGUUAAAAGUAAAAGUUGACAUGAAUUUGCUUAAUUUCUUCUGGUGAUGACAACAGUUGUUUUUCAUCACAAGAAGAAAAAUUAAACUAAACUCAAUAUAUUACUAUCAUUACCUGCGAAAAGAAUGAUGUUAUUUUACUAUGAACUAUGAAUAUAUGUACUGGUAUGAUGGCAUUUGAUAUUUUCAUGAAUAAGGAGACAGCUAUUAUAAUUAUAUAUUUAUUAUAAUAUUUUUGUUAUGAUAUUAAAUUUUUUAAAAACAUUAUGCGGCAUUGGAUUUUUACCUUUGAUAAAUGGUUGGUGCUCCAUAUUCAAACUUUAUGAAGUGAAAGAAGUACCGAAAAACCAUUUGGAAAAGUAGUAAUGUACAAUUUGAAAAAGUGUUCACUUUAUAAAUUAUGAAGGUUUAUUUACUUUAAAUUUGAU